AUAGGCCAGUGUAGCAGAGCUUGAGACUUUUUCUUCAGAUGACAUUAAGGAUUUUUCGCCGCCGCAAGUGGUUGAAUUUCUAGCACAGCUUGUGGAUAAGACCAGCGACAAGCCUCUACCUAUUUCACAUCUGCGAACAAUGGACAAGGCUUAUCGGCUAACGCCUUC